UACGUAGGGGGCAAGCGUUGUCCGGAUUUAUUGGGCGUAAAGAGCGUGUAGGCGGCUAGAUAGGUCCGUUGUGAAAACUCGAGGCUCAACCUCGAGACGCCGAUGGAAACCAUCUAGCUAGAGUCCGGAAGAGGAGAAUGGAAUUCCUGGGUGUAGCGGUGAAAUGCGCAGAUAUCAGGAAGAACACCCGUGGCUAAGGCGGUUCUCUAGUACGGUACUGACGCUGAGACGCGAAAGCGUGGGGAGCGAACAGG
rnacentral:rRNA from 1 species